rnacentral:rRNA from 1 species
AUUGAACGCUGGCGGCAGGCCUAACACAUGCAAGUCGAACGGUAACAGGAAACAGCUUGCUGUUUCGCUGACGAGUGGCGGACGGGUGAGUAAUGUCUGGGAAACUGCCUGAUGGAGGGGGAUAACUACUGGAAACGGUAGCUAAUACCGCAUAACGUCGCAAGACCAAAGAGGGGGACCCUCGGGCCUCUUGCCAUCGCAUGUGCCCAGAUGGGAUUAGCUUGUUGGUGGGGUAACGGCUCACCAAGGCGACGAUCCCUAGCUGGUCUGAGAGGAUGACCAGCCACACUGGAACUGAGACACGGUCCAGACUCCUACGGGAGGCAGCAGUGGGGAAUAUUGCACAAUGGGCGCAAGCCUGAUGCAGCCAUGCCGCGUGUAUGAAGAAGGCCUUCGGGUUGUAAAGUACUUUCAGCGGGGAGGAAGGGAGUAAAGUUAAUACCUUUGCUCAUUGACGUUACCCGCAGAAGAAGCACCGGCUAACUCCGUG